UGUUAUUUAUAAUAGUUUUUUGAAUUGAGAUAUAUUUAAUUUUAAACGAAGAUCGCGGUUGCCUGUCUUUGCUCGGUUCUGUGUUGUUGACGGAAAUACUACCUUUGUGUAUCAACUAAACUUUUUAGAUUUAUCACAUUAUCUAAGUCAUCUAAGAAAAAUAUUUACCUGUAAAGCUUAGCCAAAUUAUAAUGUGCAUUGACGUGGUCUCGGUUAUACUUUAACGCUUGCAGGAAAUGGUGUUCAGCUCGCCCCGAUGCUAGCACCAGCGUGCCGAGAUUAUUGAAUAGAGACGAGCAAACGGUCUACUAGUUACGGUCUAAUAGCCAUUAUCGCCUUCACUUCCUACACUGUCAAGCGCCGCUAAUCACGGGAUCUAAAGUGUUACGUUCCUGUAAUUGAAGCCAUUGAUUGAAAAGGUUAUAAAGAAUUUCCAGACUUGGAAGACCUGUAUAUGAUGGAGAUAGAUAGAGAUGGUUUUUUUAACGUACUUGAGCGCUUCCUUAUAGUGAUGGAUGGCAUUCUCUUGUUGCUCCACGUCUUUUAAGAAAUUAGCGAAAUUAUAAUGUAAUUUCGCGUUAUGUGGCAAGACCGCGAGA